GCGCCCCUCAAGUCCCGUGGUUCUAGCACCGUUGCUUUUAUUAACUUAUUUUUACUUAAACUAUUUUUAUAAAUUAUAUUAAGGCCUAAAAUCGCUCAUUUUUAUUAUACCAAAAUUUGUCUAUUAUCUUAUAUUAAAUAAGUCAUGUGAAAGUUAAUUUUAGAAAAUAUUUGCCAAGGUGCAUUAUUGCAUCCUUGAAUUUUUAAAUGUCUCAGAAAGACGUGUACGCCAUAUUCUUAAAUGAGAAGAACAUUUUAAAACAUGCCUAAAGUUCGUUUAGCGUUAAUGGUAUUUAUUUCAUCUCUUAUAAAUUCGAGACGAUGUGUUCAGCCCAUUAUUCUCAUUAUUUUCACUUAUUUCUUUUAAAUUGGCAACACGUAUUUGAUUAGUCUGCAACUCACCUUAUUCCCUUGCGAAUGAGUUUUCUCUCUCUAUUUUUUUUCUUUUCUUUAUUACAACGGGUCUUGAAUAAGUCCACGUCCUAUCUUGCUCCAAUUCAAAUAAUUAGUUUGGGCCUUAAACCAUUCUAAGCCACAAAACAUUUUUUUAGGUUAAGAAACUAAUGUAAUUAUACAUAGCUCAAGAUAAAACCAGAAAUAACAUAUAACUUAAAGGAAUUAUCAAAAACAUAUUAAAAUAAUUUCAAUAUCAAAUAUCAACUACAGGGAAUAACUGAACAAACAAUUAAAAUGACAAGAAAUGGUAGAGGAAAUGAAAUGUGAUUCCAAACUAAAAUCUUAAACUAAGCAUAACUUAUUAGUUUAUUUUUGUUUUUGUUUUUUCGAAAAGAAAACAACAAAUAGACUGUGAAUGGGAUACAAACUAAUGGCCAUACGUCCAAAGCGUUGUUGAAGGACACGUGAAUUUCAAUUAUCUCUAAUCAUUUGAAUCACGUCUAAAAUCAUUAAUGUCACCAAUGAUACCCCACAAUUCUUGGUAAAAAAAAAUGCGGCAGUGGCUAAUUGAAAACUAAUGUUUAAAUUUACUAUUACAUGUCACUAACAAAAGAAAAAGACUUUCCCUUUACUACCACUUUAUGAACCAAAUUUCAUUUUUCUUAAGAGAAAAAAAAAUAUUAUUCGUAACCAAAUUUUACUCUAAACUUAAUGAUACACAAAAUAAAAGGAACAUAGACAUAUUUUGUAUAAUGAUUACGUUAACUAGAAUUCAUGACCAAAUCCUCACGUACACAAAUAAUUAAUUUUACAUGUUAAAUAAUUCAUGAAGUCAUUUAAACUUUCAUUCGUGCUUUGAUUCAUGAUAAAUUUAUGAAAUAUAAUAUAAGAUGGGAUAAAAAUCUGUAUUACAAAUUAAAUCAAGUAUCGAAGCAAGAACGUCGUCAUCGAAAACUCAAACGGAGACCUGAAAUUUGAUUUGCAACCCUGUCUCUCCUUUGUUUUCUUCCUUUUUUUUUUUGUUUCAAAUGUUGUACAUUGUCUUUGUUGUGUGUAUGUAUUGUGUUGUCUCCCUUUUUUCUUCUUCAGGUGUUUUUCUUUUCUUUUUUUGUUUUUUCAGUGUUGUCUCUCUUUUUUUGGUUUUUUGUUAGUGCGUUUUCCUUCUUUAGUCUCUCCUCUUUGUUACUUUCUGUUUCUUUCCCUUCAAAUGUUUUUUUUUGUUUUGUUGUUGUUUUUUUUUUUGGUUUUCUC
rnacentral:lncRNA from 1 species